AAUGAGAGUUUGAUCCUGGCUCAGGAUGAACGCUGGCGGUAUGCCUUAUACAUGCAAGUCGUACGAGAGUUUUUAACUCAAGUGGCGGACGGGUGAGUAACACGUAAGAAUUUGCCUUUAGGAGGGGGACAACAACUGGAAACGGUUGCUAAUACCCCAUAUGCUUUCGAGUGAAAUGGAUUUCCGCCUAAAGAGAAGCUUGCGGCUGAUUAGCUUGUUGGUAGGGUAAUAGCCUACCAAGGCGACGAUCAGUAUCUGGUUUGAGAGGACGAUCAGACACACUGGAACUGAGACACGGUCCAGACUCCUACGGGAGGCAGCAGUGGGGAAUAUUGCACAAUGGAGGAAACUCUGAUGCAGCCAUGCCGCGUGUGUGAAGAAGGCCUUCGGGUUGUAAAGCACUUUCAGUUGUGAGGAAAGGUGAGUAGUUAAUACCUGCUUGCUGUGACGUUAACAACAGAAGAAGCACCGGCUAACUCCGUGCCAGCAGCCGCGGUAAUACGGAGGGUGCAAGCGUUAAUCGGAAUUACUGGGCGUAAAGCGCACGCAGGCGGUCUGUUAAGCUAGAUGUGAAAGCCCCGCGCUCAACGUGGGAUGGUCAUUUAGAACUGGCAGACUAGAGUUUUGGAGAGGAGAGUGGAAUUCCAGGUGUAGCGGUGAAAUGCGUAGAUAUCUGGAGGAACAUCAGUGGCGAAGGCGACUCUCUGGUCAAUAACUGACGCUCAUGUGCGAAAGUGUGGGUAGCGAACGGGAUUAGAUACCCCGGUAGUCCACACCGUAAACGCUGUCUACUAACUGUUUGUGGAUUUAAUCCGUGAGUAGUGAAGCUAACGCGAUAAGUAGACCGCCUGGGGAGUACGGCCGCAAGGUUAAAACUCAAAUGAAUUGACGGGGGCCCGCACAAGCGGUGGAGCAUGUGGUUUAAUUCGAUGCAACGCGAAGAACCUUACCUACUCUUGACAUACUAGACACUUUUCAGAGAUGAAUUGGUACCUUCGGGGAUCUAGAUACAGGUGCUGCAUGGCUGUCGUCAGCUCGUGUCGUGAGAUGUUGGGUUAAGUCCCGCAACGAGCGCAACCCUUAUUUUUAGUUGCCUUUUGGAACUCUAAAAAGACUGCCGGUUAUAAACCGGAGGAAGGCGGGGAUGACGUCAAGUCAGCAUGCCCCUUACACCCUGGGCUACACACGUGCUACAAUGGGCGAGACAAUGAGCUGCAAAUCUGCGAAGAUUAGCUAAUCUAUAAACUCGUUCUAAGUUCGGAUUGCAGGCUGCAACUCGCCUGCAUGAAGUUGGAAUCGCUAGUAAUCGCUGGUCAGCUACACAGCGGUGAAUUCGUUCCCGGGCCUUGUACACACCGCCCGUCACACCAUGGAAGCUGGUUAUGCCCGAAGUCGUUACUCUAACCUUUUGGAGGAGGACGCCUAAGGUAGAAUUAGUGACUGGGGUGAAGUCGUAACAAGGUAACCGUACUGGAAGGUGCGGUUGGAUCACCUCCUU
rnacentral:rRNA from 1 species